rnacentral:rRNA from 1 species
GACGAACGCUGGCGGCGUGCUUAACACAUGCAAGUCGAACGGAAAGGCCCUGCUUGCAGGGUGCUCGAGUGGCGAACGGGUGAGUAACACGUGGGUGAUCUGCCCCUUACUUUGGGAUAAGCCUGGGAAACUGGGUCUAAUACUGGAUAGGACCAUGCUGUAGGUGGUGUGGUGGAAAGAUUAGUUUCGGUAAGGGAUGAGCUCGCGGCCUAUCAGCUUGUUGGUGGGGUAAUGGCCUACCAAGGCGUCGACGGGUAGCCGGCCUGAGAGGGUGGACGGCCACAUUGGGACUGAGAUACGGCCCAGACUCCUACGGGAGGCAGCAGUGGGGAAUAUUGCACAAUGGGCGCAAGCCUGAUGCAGCGACGCCGCGUGGGGGAUGACGGCCUUCGGGUUGUAAACUCCUUUCACCCAUGACGAAGCCCUUGUGGUGACGGUAGUGGUAGAAGAAGCACCGGCUAACUACGUG